UGACCUGCGCCCUCUGCUCCAAUCUCCAUCGACUCUGACUCUGCUAGCUGCUGCUGCUGUUCUGGUGCUGUGGUUUCGUUUCUGAAUUCAGAGUGCGUGCGUUGUUGUUCCGUCGGUCUGUGUAGUUAGUGGAUGGCGAUGGAUCUGAAUGCAGUUAGUUCGUCAGAGUGCGUGUGUUGUCUGUGGAAGGAGAUAAAUAUGAAUGCAAUGGGAUUGUUGGUUUCUUCUAUUUGAAUCUGGUCACCACCAACUUGUUAUGCCACUAAAAAAUUUCUCAGCAGAGGAAGUUAGUUGCGGUAAUUUUCGUUUGGAUUUUCAUACCAUGCGCGCACAGAGAUCGAAAUAGGUAGGGGACUCUGUUUCUAUUUCGUUGUGCUGUCUGUUCCCAAACAUAGCUCCUCUGCAGCCGUAUGUCAACGAGGUGGAAGGGGAUGGCGGUCCAACUGACUCCAUCUGAAGAGGUGCUGCUGUUUAGAUCCUACUCCCUACAUGCCAGCUGGAGUAGCUGAAGUUUAUCUCUGAUGCAUCAUGAUCCUACUCCCUACUCUUGGCGUUGGAAUGCUGUACUUGGCGCCUGAUCAUGGAACCAGAUCCUCUAACAUUGCCAAGGAAAGUCAUCGUGCUACCGUGUUUGCCUAGUGUAAAAUAAAGAAAAAAAGUUAGGGACUGUUAUUAGGUAUAGUUAGUAGGUUGUUUACUCUUGGUAUUUACUGUAGAUAUAAAUAAUUUAAUUUUAAUUUUAUUUCACCAUCAAUUUGUUUGUACUCCCUCCAUUUCACAAUGUAGUGCUUCCUUUAUUCUUGUGCUUCAACUUUGACCGUAAAUUUAACUAACAAGACCGAUUGCGGCGGGAGCAAAAAUUAUAUCAGUGAAUUCGUAUUCGAAAGAAGUUUUCAAUUAUAUAAUUUUUUCUCCUGCCGUAGUUGGUUUCGUUGGUUAAAUUUAUGGUCAAAGUUAGAUCUCGGAAAGCGCGGGCGCACUAUAUUUUGGAAUGGAGGAAGUAUGUAAUUAAUAUAAAUGUACACAAUAGAUCAUCAAUUUGCAAAUUAAUUUAAAUCAUUUUAGCCAUAAUCAUAUGAAUAUAAAGAAGAAAAGUUAGCGCAUUGUACCUUCUCUAACUUUCCUUCUCAAUGUUAGAGGAUCCGGUUCCCCUGAUCAUGGGCUUCAUGAUGAAAAGGAAGCCGGAAGUGAUCUUUUCUGUAAUAAUAGUUGGUUACCCAGAAACGUUCUCUGAAUUUAUGUGUUAUUUUUGUAAUCAGAUACACUGUACUCCCUCCGUUCCUAAAUAAGUAGAUGAUGUUUGGUAGUUUAAUUUGAACUACCAAAACGUCAUGUAUUUAGGAGCGGACGAAGUAUGUUCUAAAAUUUGGUGAUGUCAAUUUUUUUAGUUCAGUUAAAUCAAAUGGUUAUAGAGUUGCACAUUGCUCAAUAUAAAAGCUCGCUAACUUGUAGUGACGUGAGAGAGAGAAAAAAAAAUCUUACAAUCAUCUUAUGCUACUACUUUGUCAGCUGCUAUUUUGCUUCCCCUAAAAAAAGUUGUUAUUUUGCUACAGGGACAUAAUUUUUAUCCUCUCUGAUGAUGUGUGCCCAAGGCCUCCAUGAGCUGGCUAACAUUUGAAUUUCAACCCUUUCAAAAGUUCUCUUAACAAAUGGACCUUUUCACUUCCUCACAAAAAAAAGACACAGAUUUUGAUCCAGUCAAGGAUAGGCCGAAUUAAAGUGAAACUAACAUUGUUUUCGAUAUGGUUCUACUACCUCUUAAGAAAUAAAGCAUCUCAAUUAUUCGUCUGAAAGACGGGGUGAAUUAUCACAUAGAGUUGGAACACGUCUCUUUACUGAUUGAUAGUAAGGUGUGGAAACCUUAAUGCUCGUCUAAUUAGGAUGGAAAUAUGAUAGUGCACAACAAGAUUGCUCAUACGAGGCAAAUUCUGGAAUUGUGUAUUGGAGUCAUUCAUUUCAAUUAUCCGCAGCUCAUAAUAAAGAUGACCUCUUUCUUACAAGCUGCGACAUUUGCUCGGGGCGAGCAAACCUUUUAUCUUGGGGGAGUUGAUUAGUCCAAUUUAUGUGAUAAUUUUGAUAGUUAUGUUGUGCCUACAUGUUAGGCUUUGAGGAGUUUUACCGCGUUCGUGCACUAAAUUUUCUCGGUAUUCCGCAGUGACGUCCUUUGGAGUAAAUAAAGUUUUAUGAAAGGAAUCCUAGAUAAUAGUGAACUGACCUGGACAAACAUAACCAAGGGGACAAGGGCUAGUUGCCAUGCAGCAAGAAGGUCAAGACAUAGCUGCAAAGCAAUAUGUUGCUUCAAUAAAUAUGUUGUAUAAUGAUAGAUUUACUAAGAAUUUGUUCAAUAAAUAUAUUGUUUUAACGAGUUGAAAGCUGUCGUUUUAGUAGUACUUGGAGCCCCCACCCGUAAUUAUCCCAUAAAACUCCAUCACUCAGAAAUAUGACGGGGAAAAGAAACUGAAAACAUUGAACAACAAAGAGGACAGUCGAUGCUAACCGACGUAAAACACAAUAGCUGCAGAGCAUAGGAUAAGAUGACCGACGGAGGAGAGGAGGUGGAGAAACAACAUCCGGACAUGAAGCCAGGACCGACACGAGGGGCGGCGCCGGGUGAAACAAGACAGACGGUGAUGGUGCGAGGGGGGAGGGGAGGAAGACGGAUCGGAGGAACAAAAGAAAAGAUACGUUAUAAAACCUGAAAUGUUUAAGGACUAAAGUGUAAAAGGAAAAAUAAUAAACAGAGAAAAUUUGGUUUAGGCAAAUAAAUAGAGAAAGUUUUUUUUGAGACAAAUAAACAGAGAAAGUGAAAACUUUUUUUUUGAAGCUAAGAAACUGAAAACUGGAAACAGGAAAACACGCGGCCGCUCUAUUUGGCUCUGUUCGGAAAAAAAAAGUGAAAGUGAAAAAUGCAAUUUCUAAUAUUUUAGGAAAAAAAAACAGAAAGCAAAGUCCAAGAAUAUUAGUAUAUGCUUGGCCCGCUUGUAUGCCGAGGCUUCAGCCCAGUCCAACCAACAGCGCCAACCCCCCACCACACCCGUUCCGCCGUCGCUCCGCCUCGUUUUCAAGCUGCCGCCGGAGAAGGACGCAUGCGAAGCACCGCCGCCGACCGCAUCGCCGUCGCCGUCGUCUCCAACGCACGCCUUCUCUACAAGGCAUGCUAGCUUUCCCCUUGUUUGUUUCUUGAUCCCCACUUGAUUUUUUUUCCAUUAGAAUUUGUUGCUUGCGUCAACGUUUCAUCGUCCUGAUCGAUUGAUACGCUGGCUGAACUUUGUUAUUAUUAGAGAUAGAGCCGCAGCUGUUCUCUACUUUGUAGUACAGUCCAUACGUCUUGCCACCAUUAAUUGCUGCGAGAAAGAGUUCCAGAUCGCGUUGCCACUUUGAUAGGGCCGGGCUAGAUUAGAUAUUUAGACUCCCACUUGAUUUAUUUUCUGUAUGUAAGAAAGAAUUUUGAACAUACUGCUAUGGGCCCUAGAUAUUGGAUCGAUGGUAAAUUGGGAAUCAUGGGAUCCAUUGAUCCUCUAUGACUAAGACUACCUCUAUCAGAUACAGAUAGAACUGUAUAGCUGUUCUCUUUGGUCUAUAUAUACAGAUGGAUGUGUUUUCCAUUGCCUUCAAGUAAUCAAUGGUAGCUUAGGGACAUGACAGACUGAGGCAAUGUUAUAAAUAUUUACCCCAUUUGAUUUUCGAUGUAAUUGUCAGCAGCAUAUUGUUUUUCAUGUCAGAGCGCAUAUAUGUUAUCGCUUCUCUACCUGUUGCCUUUUCAAAUGUUCACGUCAUUCUUCUAAUGUUUUUUCUUUUGAUUCAAAAUUUCUUUCAGAGAAGCUGCAGUCGCGGGUAACUCCAAGGUCUGCUGUGUUUGGGUCUGUCCCGUCUGAGGCUCUCAGCUAUGUCCACUCUUCAAGGUUGGCCAGACCUCCCGGAUGACCUGCUUCAUUCCAUUGUUCCUCGAUUGGGAUCCUUCCUUGACCUUCUUGCUUUUGCUGCCGCCUGCUCCUCUUGGCGUGCUGCCUUCUCCUCCUAUCCAUCCAAACACACACUCUUGCAAAUGUUGCCACCUCUCCUCCUCCAACCUGAUGUUCAUGAGUGCCCUCCUCGUCCUCGCCCAUUUAGCAACAGCCUCGUGCCUACACAUUCAUGCCAUGUCACUGAUUUAGCCAACCAAGGUACCUACAUGCGUUGUCAGAUUCCCCGGUUUUCUCCUUUUGGUGAGAGCAAAUCCCCACAAAGUCCUCUAGAUAGUUCUUAUUUUGGGGGUGUUUCCUAUGGUCAUCUCAUCUUGUUUAACCAAAAUCAAUCAUGUCUUGUUAUUGAUGUCUUUACUGGUGUUAGUUUCUCAACUCCGAAACUACCGGUCGAUGAAAACACUUUCCUGGACCAUGCUUCCCUCACGGCUCCUCUGACGUCACCCAACUCAUAUCUCAUGGUCACCAAAGGACGCCACUAUUUCUUUUGGCGUGUUGGUAGUAAAUCUUGGUUGAGACGUUCUCUUCACAAUGGAACGAUCGAGAAGGUCAUGGUUUUCAAAGGACAAAUAUUUGGCAUGGAUAAUGACUGCAGGCUCAUUAUCAUGAACUUGGUACCACGGAUCCGAAUACAGAAAAUAACAGUUGAUCCUGGUGAAAGCAUGCACAACAAAUGGCAUCUUCCCCACCCAUGGCUUGUUGCGUGCGGCGAUAUGCUUCUCCUGGUUGGUUGUCAUCGAUCUUUUCCAUCAACAGGGGAUACGUUUGAAGCUUUCCGCCUCGACCUAACGAGUGAACCUGCAAAGUGGAUGAAGGUGGAAAAGCUAGAAAAUUGGGCAAUCUUCAUCAGCACAGACGACAGAAGCCAGCCAUUGUGUUGCAUGAACCCAGAGAGAUGGGGAGGGAGGAGCAAUUCUAUAUACUUCUAUUUCCAUGAUUCUAAUAAUUGGAUCAAUUUUGAGCUGGACAAGCCACUGCAGGGAAAUGCCUCUACUCCAACAAUCUUUAUCUGCAGAGGCCGUGCCAGUAUGAUGCAACCUACAUGGGUUGUGCCUAGUAUGUUCUAUUCGUGACCUGCUUGAUGCAUGGUCUAUUCAUGACCUGCUUGAUGCAUGGUUAUUACUGCUCGCCGUGGUAGCUUCCCCUAUAAGAUGCCUUGACUUUUAUAUAGGUCUAGCCCAAAGAAAUUUUGAACCUUUGAUAUAGUUGUAGUAUAACCAUGUCAGAUGUAAUUGGAAUAUGGAGUUGUCGGAGCCAAUUUUUAGCCUCUUAGCUCAGCAUGCAUGAAAAUGUUGUUUCAAUUUAUUUUAAGCAAGCUCUCAGCUUGUUCCGAAAAUUUGCUCUUCGAGUAGAGAACAGAACAGUGGCUCAUUUGCAGUUAUGUAGGAGAUGGUCACGGUAGCCGGAGCACUGAGGAUUUUGCAGUUAGUUCAUCCUUGAGGGCUUACUCAAGCUUAUGCGCAUAUAAGACAUGUGUUUAGACCUUAUAAAAGAUGUGUUUAUGCUAGCAUAAGGGCUUAGGGGAUUUCUAACCGAUCCUCAAUAACCAGUUAGAGGAGUAAAAACCCGGUUUUACUUCUCUAACCGGCACCUAGCCGAUCCCCAAUCAACGCUAGUGGAGGAUAAAUUAUCCUCAGCCGCGCCACGCCUCCCUAUAUUUACUCCAUUAUACGGUGGUCGAGUAAAAAAAAUCUCACUUCGUCUCCUCUUCCUCUCCGCUUCCUCCGCUUCUUCUUCUCCCUAUAUUUACUCCAUCAUACGGUGGUCAAGUAAAAAAUGUCCUUACUCAAGCUUAUGCGCUUUCUCACCUCUCAGUUAGCCUUGCUGUUCACUACUCUAUUUUUUUUGCGGGUGCACUACUCAUUCUUUUGCUGUAACGGGCAGGUUUGAACUGCAGUUUUGAGGCAUGUUGGGAGUGGGGCUUUGUGAAUUUUGUGCGCGAGCAAGGGGUUCUUCUUCAGGUGCAUGGUUUCGUUUCAGGUUCGCGUGUCAAACUGAUGACGGAACCAUGCAUAUCGUGUUUUAUGCAAUAUAUAAACUUGAAUAAUAUCAUGCGAAAAGUCUGCCCCAGCAGUCGAUGGUUGUGUUUCCUCGGUUUUGCCACGGAAGCUGGAAUGGGUAGUGUAAUUUUUGAAACUGACGCCGCCGAUCUGAAAGAAGCGGUAAUGACCAUGAUCUUUCAGCGAAGAGGCACUAAUUUCGCCUGCAAAGUUGUAUAUGUGUUCUAAGUGACUAGAGCAUCUCUAGCAGAUCUUGUAAAUCGGGUCAUUUGAAAUAAUAACAACCAAUAUAGCGGACGAGUGCGUUUUUUUUGCCUAAAACAUAUCCAGCAAAAUCAUCCGUCCCCUAUUUUUUUUUGGAAUCCCGCAUAGUUUGGGCCAUUUCCUCUAUAUAUGCGGAAAUCAGACCUGUUUUUGUGGAUUCCUGUAUCGCACAGAAGCAGUUGGCGGGAGUGAAACUUCCGCCCUAGCUUGGCCGGCUGCGUCCACUGCAGGAGCCCGUCCUGGCCGUUGCGUCCCCGUGCUCAAGGUCCGCUGUGCCCCGAGCUCUGUCGUAGGAGCCCGUCCUGGCCGCCACGCUCCUGAGCUCCACCGCACCAACCCGUCCCAGACGCCGCGUCCCCGUGCUCGAGGUCCACCGCGCAAGCCCAUUCCGGCCUCCACGUCCCCGAGCUUCGCCGCAGGAGCCCGUCCGGGCCGCCGCGCCCCCAAGCUCCGCUGUAGGACCCCCUCCCGGCCGCCGCGCCCCCGAGCUCCCCUGCGGGAGCCCGUCCUGGCCGCCGCGUCCCAGUGCUCGAGGUCUGCCACGCCCUUGAGCUCUGCCACGUCCCCGUGCUCGAGGUCCACCACGCCCUUGAGCUCCGCCGCGUCCCUGAUCAGCGUGCUUGCAUCGAAUGGCUUGCUCACAGUGAUAAAAACACCUAUUUUCUCCAUCCAAGGGCGAGCCAGCGCUGCAGGAAAAAUCAAAUUAAGUUUCUCCAAAGACCGGAUGUCAGUGUAACUGAGGACAACACGGAGAUGGAAGAGAUGGUCACGAUUUUUUACUGCACACUCUACACCUCUGGAGGUGUGACUGAUAUUGAUCAAGUUCUAAAUACAGUUCCAGGGAAGGUUACUCCGGCGAUGAAUGAUAUUCUUAAUGCAAAGUACACUCAGGAGGAGAUUAAGGUAGCCAUGUUCCAGAUGUUCCCAACAGAAGCACCAGGUCCAGAUAGGUUCUCAGCCACUUCUUUCAGCGUCACUGGGAUGUUUGUGGGACUGUUGUCAGAACAGUGAUACUUCGAAUUAUUAAUGGAACUGAGCUAGUGAAGAGCAUUAAUGAGACUAUUUUAGUGCUAAUACCAAAGGUAAAGAACCCCACAUUAUUGUCUCAGAUCAGGCCAAUUUCUCUAUGUAAUGUUUUAUGCAAGAUUGUUUCCAAAGUCAUAUCAAACAGAUUGAAGCAAGUUCUACUUGACAUCAUGCAUGUCUGAUGAGCAGCCAACUUUUGUUCCAGGUAGACUUAUCAUGGAUAACAUAAUCAUUGCUUAUGAAUGUCUUCAUUUUAUGAAAAGAAAUAGGGCCAAGAGAAAUAGGUUUUGUGAACUCAAGUUGGAUAUGAUGAAAGCCUAUGAUAGAGUGGAGUGGGACUAUUUACAUGCAAUAAUGAUAAAGCUCGGCUUCACAAUGAGGUGGGUUAAUAUAGUCUUGAGUCUGGCGAUAUCAGUUAAGCUCUCAGUUUUAUUCAAUGGGAAGAAGCUACAAUAGUUUACACCAUCACAUGGUAUUCGACAGGGAACCCAAUUUUUCCAUAUCUAUUCUUGAUUGUAGCAGAGGGCCCUUCGUGCCUCUUAAAAUUUAUCGAUGAGUCAUCCAACCUUACUGGCAUUCGGAUGGCCCCAUUGACGCCACCGGCUAACCAUUUAUUAUAUUCACUGAUGAUAGCCUCGUGUUUUUAAAGCUAGUCUAACUGGGGCUAAUGAGGUAAACUUGUUGAAUAGGUAUUGUCGGGCUUCUGGAGAACACAUAAACAAUGAGAAAUCUUUGAUCUAUUUCAGUUUGGGCUGUCCGAAAAAGUGUGAGGUUGGAAGUUAAGAACGUACUACAAGUUCCAAAUGAGUCACUGAGUGCAAAAUAUAUAAGCCUUCUUGUUGGGAAACGUUGCAUGGAAAACAUAAAAAUUCUACGCACACACAAGAUCUAUCUAUGGAGAUGCAUAGUAACUAGAGGGAAGAGUUUUUUUACGUACCCCCGUAGACCGUAAGUGGAAGCUUUUAGUAAUGCGGUUGAUGUAGUUGAACUUGUUCGUGAUCCAACCGAUCGAGUACCGAACGUACGACACCUCCGCGUUCAGCAUACGUUCAGCUCGGUGACGUCCUCGCCUUCUUGAUCCAACAAGACGACGAAGUAGUGGAUGAGUUCCGGUAGCACGCCAGCGUGGUGAUAGAGGUGGUGAUGCUAUCUCCGCAGGGUUCGCCUAAGCAUUACGAAAAUAUGACCGAGGGACAAAACUAUGAAGAGGGACACCUCACAUAGCUAAGAGAUUGUCGUGGUUAUGUGUGGCGCCCCCUCCCACAUAUAUAUAGGUGGGGGGAAGAGGGGAGUAGCCAGGAGGCGCCCCAAGUAGUAGGGCCGAAUCCUACUUGGGCUCUUGCCUUGGCCGCCCCCCUUACCAUAUAUGCCGGAGGGGGAAAGGAAAGUGGGGAGAGGGAAGGAAGGGGGAGGCCGAAUCCCCCUCCUGCCUUUCUCCCAUAGGCCGGCUGCCAUAGGGGGGUGCACCAGCCCCUUGUGGGCUGGUGUGCUCCCCUCUAAUGGCCCAAUAGGCCCAUCAUCCUCCCGGGGGUGCCCGGAACCCCUUCCGAUGAUCCGAUGACUACCCGGUGCACUACGAAACUCUUUCGGUGUCUGAAUAUCAUCGUCUUAUAUAUCAAUAUUUACCUCCGGACCAUUCCGGAGCUCCUCGUCAUGUCUGUGAUCUCAUCUGGGACUUCGAACAAUAUUUGGUCACCAAAUCAUAUACUCCCUCCGUUCACUUUUGUAAGUCGUUUCAGACAACCCAAAAUAGGCUGUUUUGCACAUUGUCUGAAAUCUCUUCAAGGUCUUAUAAAAGUGAACAGAGGGAGUAACUCAUAUAACACCAUAUCGUCAAUGAACGUUAAGCAUGCGGAUCCUACGGGUUCGAGAACUAUGUAGACAUGACCGAGACACCUCUCCGGUUAAUAACCAACAGCGGAACCUAAACGCCCAUUUUGGCUCCUACAUAUUCCAUGAAGAGCUUUAUCGGUCGAACCUUAUGACAACAUACGUAAUUCCCUUUGUCCGUCGGUAUGUUACUUGCCCGAGAUUCGAUCGUCGGUAUCUUCAUACCUAGUUCAAUCUCGUUACCGGCAAGUCUCUUUACUUGUUCGGUAAUACAUCAUCUCGUAACUAACUCCUUAGUCACUUUGCUUGCAAGCUUCUUGUGAUGUGUAUUACCGAGUGGGCCUAGAGAUACCUCUCUGAUAUAUGGAGUGACAAAUCCUAAUCUCGAUCUAUGCCAACUCAACAAACACCUUCGGAGAUACCUGUAGAGCAUCUUUAUGAUCACCCACUUACGUUUGUGAUGUUUGAUAGCACACAAGGCAUUCCUCCGGUAUCCAGAAGUUGCAUAAUCUCAUAGUCUAAGGAAUAUGUAUUUGACAUUAAGAAAGCAAUAACAAUAAACUGAAUGAUCAAAUGCUAAGCUAACGGAUGGGUCUUGUCCAUCACAUCAUUCUCCUAAUGAUGUGAUCCUGUUACCAAGUGACAACACAUGUCUAUGGUUAGGAAACCUUAACCAUCUUUGAUCAACGAGUUAGUCUAGUAGAGGCUCACUAGGGACACGGUAUUUGUUUAUAUAUCCACACAUGUAUCUAAGUUUCCAAUCAAUACAAUUAUAGCAUAAAUAAUAAUCUUUUAUCAUGAAUAAGGAAAUAUAAAAUAACAACUUUAUUAUUACCUCUAGGGCAUAUUUCCUUCACUUCCAUCAUGUGGGGUCAUCAAAGAACGGUUCAUUUAAGUACCUGAUAUGUCUCCAAUGUAUCUAUAAUUUUUGAUUGUUUCAUGCUAUUAUAUUAUCAAUCUUGGAUGCUUUAUAUGCAAUUUUAUAUCAGUUUUAGGAACUAACCUAUUAAUUCAGUUCCCAGUGCCAGUUCCUAUCUUCUGCAUGUUUUUAGUUUUUUUAGAAAAUCAAUACCAAACAAAGUCUAGAUACGAUGAAACUUUACGGUGAUUUGUUCUGGACCAUAUGGGACCCUAGAAGCUUCGGGAGGAGGCCAGAAGAUCUACGGGAGAGCCACAAGCUCACACGACGCGCCCCGAGGGGGGGCACCAUCUGAGCUUGUGGGUCCCACGUAGCUCCGUUUGACUUAAUGACAAGGCUAUAAAUUACAUAAAUCCCAAAACCAAAAUAGAGCCGUCCGAAACAAUUUUUUCACCGCCGCAAGUUUCUGUUCUUCCGCGAUCCCAUCUGAAGGCAUUUUUUGAUACUCUGCCGGAGGGGGAAUCAUUCACGGAGGGCUUUUAUAUCAACUUUUCUGCACCACUAAUGAUGUGUGAGUAGAUACCUACGGGUGCAUAGUGAUUAGCUAGAUGGUUUCUUCUCUCUCUUUGAUUUUCAAUUACAAUGUUCUUUUUGGAGAUCGAUCCGACGUAAUCUUCUUGCGGUGUGUUUGUUGGGAUCCGAUGAAUUGUGGGUUUAUGAUUGUAAUAUUCAUUAAAAGUAAUUGAGUUUUUUCUGAACUUUAUUAUGGAUGAUUAUUAUAUCUUUAUAUUUCUCUCUGAUCUACCCAUUUGGUUUGGCCAACUAGGCUGAUUUGUCGUCGAUGGGAGAGGUGCUUUAUAGUGGGUUCAAUCUUGCGGUGUCCUCGCCAGUGAGUAGGGGUAUCGAGGCACGUAUUUGUAUUGUUGCCACUAAGGGUAAAACAAUGGAUUUAAUCAUAUUGCUUGGUUUUAUUCUAUCUACAUUAUAUCAUCUUUCUUAAAGCAUUACUCUAUUUAUUAUGAACUUAAUACAAUAGAUGCAUGCUGGACAACGGUCGAAUGGUGGAGUGAUAGUAGUAGAUGUAGAAUCGUUUCAGCCUACUUGUCAUGGACAUAAUGCCUAUAUAUAUGAUCAUUGCCAUAAAUAUCAUCAUAACUAUGACCUUUUCUAUUAAUUGCCCAAUUGUAAUUUGUCUACCCACCAUAUACUAUUUUUCUAAGAGAGAAGCCUCUAGUGUAAACUAUGGCCCCCGAGUCUACUUAAAUCAUAUUGCAAAAAAACCUAGUUUUACUCUUUUUAUUUUACUUUGCAGUUUACUUAUCUGUCGUUAUCAGAUUUGAUCCUUGCAAGUAACGAGUUCAAGGGGAUUGACAGACAACCCUCUUGCCCGCAUUGGAUGCAAGUAUUUGCUCUUGUGUGUGUAGAUAAUGUUCACUAGGAAUUUGCAUGGUUCUCCUAUUGAUUCAAUAACCCUGGUUCUCAUUGAUGGAAAUACUAUCUACUACUAUAUUGCUUCAUCUUCCUCUUCGGAGAAAAUCCCAACGCAGCUCACAAGUAGCAGUACCUUAAGGACUACCUAUGGAGUAAAGUGCAAGGGUGAAUUGAACAAACUAUGACAUUGGCAGGUGAAGUGGUCUUGGUAAAGGCGGUUGCCUUGCAGCACCUGUGUAUUCUAUGUCAUGUUUGAAGCUUCCGUGAGGUUUGUGUGAACAUCUUAAAAUGUUGAUAAGGAAGUUUUGGUGGGGAAGUAAGGAUGGAAAACAAAAACCUAAUUGGGUUUCUUGCGAAGCCAUGACCCAACCCAAGAGUAUGGGAGGAUUGGGCUUUAAAGAUUUUGGGUUGUUUAACUUGGCCUUACUAGCUAAGCAGGCAUGGAGAACUUACGAAAUCCUCAAUCUCUAAGUGCUAGAAUCUUGAAAGGGGUUUACUUUCCAAAUGGAACCAUCCUGAGUGCCGAUCCUAGGAGCCAUCCUAGCCAAAUAUGGCGAGCUAUCAUUGGAGGCUGUGACAUAUUAAAGUUGGGUCUCAUUAGGCGGAUUGGCGGCGGAGAAUCAACUAACAUAUGGGUAGAUGCUUGGAUACCUACAGAUGUUAUGACGAGGCCUUAUGGGAGGCGUGUCAACAACAAUUUUGGGAAAGUAUCCGAACUCAUAGAUCAAACUUCGACCACAUGGAAUAUGGCAAUGUUGGAGGAGGUCUGCCUCCCAAUUGAUAUACCAUGUAUCUUGAGUAUCCUACUCUGUACUUCUGAUAUGGUGGACUCUUGGGCAUGGAAUUUUAAGAAAUGGAACCUACUCGGUAAGAUCAACAUAUCAUAUGAUGGUACAAACUGAAUUAAGAAGGGGAGCCUGGACUGAUGGCAAAACAGAUUCUUCUAGUACAUAAUAUGAUGAAGAGUCUUGGAAACUUCUAUGGAACACUCCGAUUCCUAGAAAGAUUCGGAUGGUCUUAUGGCGUCUCGCUAAACACUCGCUCCCAAUAGAGGACAUUAGAGAGAUUAGGAAUAUGUCAUCAUCAAGUUUGGGUGGCCUGCGUGGAGCCGAAGACUCUUGGCGUCAUUCACUACUUGCAUGCUCAAUGGCAAGAUGUUUGUGGGCCCUGUUGGAUGGAGAACUCGCAGAACAUCUUUGCGAGACUACCGAACCGAGUGCCAAGUAAUGGAUCUUUUUGAUGAUAGACACGUUAUUGCAUGCGACAUUUGUUAAGCUAGUUGUAACACUGUGGGCAAUAUAGUGAGCCAGAAGGAAAGCAAUCCAUGAGGAGUUGUUCCAAAGCCCUCCAGCCACACACCAAUUCAUUACCAGGUUAAUCCUAGAGCUUGAACUUAUGCCAAAGAAAAUUCGCAGUGCCCGAAUCGGCAGGCAAGUCGAACUACCCGACCAAAAGCUCCUCCACCCAGUUACUCAAAGAUCCAUGUUGAUGCUUGUUGAGGAGAGGAGAAGGAAUGGGAUUCAACACACUUCGAUUAUGCUCAGAGGCUGGGUUUAAGUAUAGGUUGCUGUUCUCAGCUGAGCCAAGAUCGUGGGUAUGCCACUACCUCAGGACGUGCACCACUAGCUAUACAACUGCUGCACGAUCCGUACUAUACCGUAUGGUAAACUAUACAAGGUGCAUACGGUAUAUAACUACCUAGUCUAACACCCCUCGCAGUCGUGACGUCGGUACCAGCGACGCAAAGACUGGACCGGAAUUCAGAGAAAACUUCCGUCGACAGGCCUUUGGUCAUGAUAUCGGUGAGCUGUUGGCGAGUGGGGAUGUGGAGAACACGGAACUCGCCGAGCGCCACCCGUUCACGGACGAAGAGGAUGUCCAGCUCGAUGUGCUUCAUGCGGCGGUGAUGGACUGGAUUGGCAGACAGGUACACGACCGACACAUUGUCGCAGUAGACGAGCGUGGCCUUGUCGACGGGGCAGAAGAGCUCGCCGAGCAGCUGCCGGAGCCAGAUACAUUCAGCGAUGGCGUUGGCGACGCCGGGGUAUUCAGCCUCUGCACUGGAGCGGGAGACGACGGCCUAGCAUUUGGACGACCAGGAGACGAGCGCGUCACCGAGGUAGAUGCAGAAGCCGAAGGUAGAGCGGCGGGUGUCUGGGCAGCCCGCCCAGUCCGCGCCCGUGAACGCGCGCAGGUCCAGAGUGCGUGAGGCACGGAGAUGGAGCCCGAGCGCCGGCGUGCUGCGCACGUACCGCAACACACGCUUGAUCAACCCGAGAUGGCACUCCCGAGGAUCAUGCAUAUGCAAGCAGAUCUAUUAGACGGCGUAGGCGAGCUCGGGGCGUGUGAUCGUCAGGUACUGCAGGGCACCGGCGAUGCUGCGGUAGGCGGAGGGGUCGGCGACGCGAGGCCCAUCGGCGGUGGGCAGCUUGCUCUUCGUGUCGAUCGGCGUGGGCGAGGGCCGACAUGUGUCCAUGCCAGCGCGGUCCAGGAUAUCGGCAGCAUACUGCUGCUGACAAAGGAAGAAGCCGAUUGGCGAGCGCGUGAGGCGGAUGCCGAGGAAGAAGUGAAGAGCCCCGAGAUCCUUCAUGGCAAAUUCAUCGGUGAGCUGGGCGACAACGUGGCGAAGAGCGGCGGCAGAUGAUGCGGUGAGCACGAUGUCAUCGACGUAGAGAAGGAGGAGCGCAGUGUCGCAGCCGUGGCGACAAACGAGGAGCGAAGAGUCGGACCGCGUGGCGACGAAGCCGGUAGUCUUGAGGAAGCCAGCAAAUCGAAGAAACCAUGCGCGCGGCGCUUGCUUCAAGCCGUAGAGGGACUUGGAUAGGCGACAGACGUGGUGUGGGCGGUCGGCGUCAACGAAGCCAGCAGGCUGAAGGUAGAAGACCUCCUCAUCCAGCGUACCAUGGAGGAAUGCAUUGGAUACGUCAAGCUGAUGGACCGGCCAGACACGCGAGGCAGCCAGGGUGAGCACGGUGCGGAUGGUAGCGGGCUUGACGACCAGUGAGAAGGUCUCGCCGUAGUCGAUGCCGGCACGCUGGCGAAAACCUCGCACAACCCAGCGGGCCUUGUAACGCUCGAGGGAGCCGUCGACGUUGUACUUGUGCUUGAAGACCCAUUUGCCGGUGAUGAGGUUGGCACCGGGCGGACUGCUACGUCUUGAGCUUGCAUUGGUUUUCCCCGAAGAGGAAGGGAUGAUGCAGCAGAGUAGCGUAAGUAUUUCCCUUAGUUUUUGAGAACCAAGGUAUCAAUCUAGUAGGAGGCCACGCGCAAGUCCCUCGUACCUACACAACACAAAGAGCUCAGCGCAACCAAUGCGAUUAGGGGUUGUCAAUCCCUUCACGGUCACUUACAGAAAUGAGAUCCGAUAAAUAAUAUUUUUGGUAUUUUUGAUAUAAAGAUGCAAAGUGAAAAGUAAAAGGCAAAGUAAAAACAAAACAAGAUUAAAGUGAUGGAGAUUGAUAUGAUGAUAAUAGACCCGGGGGCCAUAGGUUUCACUAGUGGCUUCUCUCGAGAGCAUAAGUUUUCUACGGUGGGUGAACAAAUUACUGUUGAGAAAUUGACAGAAUUGAGCAUAGUUAUGAGAAUAUCUAGGCAUGAUCAUGUAUAUAGGCAUCACGUCCGUGACAAGUAGAUCGAAACAAUUCUGCAUCUACUACUAUUACUCCACUCAUCGACGCUAUCCAGCAUGCAUCUAGAGUAUUAAGUUAAAAACAGAGUAACACUUUAAGCAAGAUGACAUGAUGUAGAGAGAUAAAUUCAUGCAAUAUGAAAUAAACCCCAUCUUGUUAUCCUCGAUGGCAACGAUACAAUACGUGUCUUGCUGCCCCUUCUGUCACUGGGAAAGAACACCGCAAGAUCGAACCUAAAGCUAAGCACUUCUCCCAUGGCAGGAACUACCAAUCUAGUAGGCCAAACCAAACGGAUAAUUCGAAGAGACUUGCAAAGAUAACCAAUCAUACAUAAAAGAAUUUAGAGAAGAUUCAAAUAUUGUUCAUAGAUAGACUUGAUCAUAAACCCACAAUUCAUCGGUCUCAACAAACACACCGCAAAAGAAGAAGAUUACAUCGAAUAGAUCUCCACAAGAGAGGGGGAGAACAUUGUAUUGAGAUCCAAAAAGAGAGAAGAAGCCAUCUAGCUACUAACUAUGGACCCGAAGGUCUGAAGUAAACUACUCACACUUCAUCGGAGGGGCUAUGAUGAUGUACAAGCCCUCCAUGAUGACGACCCUCUCCGGCGGAGCUCCGGAACAGGCCCCAAGAUGGGAUCUCGUGGAUACAGAAAGUUGCAGCGGUGGAAUUAGGUUUUUGGCUCCUGUUCUGAUCGUUUGGGGGUACGUGGGUAUAUAUAGGAGGAAGGAGUACAUCGGUGGAGCACCGAGGGGCCCACGGGGCAGGGGGCACACCCUGUAGGGGGGGGGGGGGCGCCCCUACCCUCGUGACCGCCUCCGGUACUUCUUGGAGUAGGGUCCAAGUCUCCUGGGUCUUAUCCGAGAAGAAAAUCACGUUCCAAAAAGGUUUUUUCUGUUUGGACUCCGUUUGAUAUUCUGUUUCUUCAAAACACUGAAAUAGGCAAAAACAGCAAUUCUGGGCUGGGCCUCCGGUUAAUAGGUUAGUCCCAAAAAUAAUAUAAAAGUGGAAAAUAAAGCCCAAUAUAGUCCAAAACAGUAGAUAAUAUGUUGGGGAACGUAGUAAUUUCGAAAAUUUUCCUACGCACACGCAAGAUCAUGGUGAUGCAUAGCAACGAGGGGGAGAGUGUUGUCUACGUACCAACGCAGACCGACUGCGGAAGCGAUCACACAACAUAGAGGAAGUAGUCGUACAUCUUCUUCCCGAUCCAACCGAUCCAAGCACCGUUACUCCGGCACCUCCGAGUUCUUAGCACACGUUCAGCUCGAUGACGAUCCUCGUGCUCCGAUCCAGCAAAGCGUCGAGGAAGAGUUCCGUCAGCACAACGGCGUGGUGACGAUCUUGAUGUACUACCGACGCAGGGCUUCGCCUAAGCUCUACAACGAUAGGACCGAGGUGGAAUUUGGUGGCAGGGGGCACCGCACACGGCUAAGGAACGAUCAACAAUGAUCAACUUGUGUGUCUAUGGGGUGCCCCCUGCCCCUGUAUAUAAAGGAGCAGGGGGAGGGGUUCGGCCGGCUAGGGAGAGGGCGCGGGAGGAGUCCUACUCCUACCGGGAGUAGGACUCCCCCCUUAAUCCUAUUCCAACUAGGACUCCCAAGGGGAAAAGGAGAGAAAGGGGGGCCGGCCCCUUCUCCUAGUCCUACUAGGACUUGGGGAAAGGGGGGGGGGGCGCGGCCAGCUAUGGGCUGCCCCUUUUCUCUUUUCCACUAAGGCCCAAUAGGCCCAUUUGCCUCCCGGGGGGUUCCGGUAACCCUCCCGGUAUUCCGGUAAAAUCCCGAUUUCACCCGGAACACUUCCGGUGUCCAAACAUAGGCUUCCAAUAUAUAAAUCUUUACGUCUCGACCAUUUCGAGACUCCUCGUCAUGUCCGUGAUCACAUCCGGGACUCCGAACAACCUUCGGUACAUCAAAAUGCAUAAACUCAUAAUAACUGUCAUCGUAACGUUAAGCGUGCGGACCCUACGGUUCGAGAACAAUGUAGACAUGACCGAGACAUGUCUCCGGUCAAUAACCAAUAGCGGGACCUGGAUGCCCAUAUUGGCUCCUACAUAUUCUACGAAGAUCUUUAUCGGUCAGACCGCAUAACAACAUACGUUGUUCCCUUUGUCAUCGGUAUGUUACUUGCCCGAGAUUCGAUCGUCGGUAUCCAAUACCUAGUUCAAUCUCGUUACUGGCAAGUCUCUUUACUCGUUUCCGUAAUACAUCAUCUCAUAACUAACAUCUUAGUUAUUAUGCUUGCAAGGCUUAUGUGAUGUGUAUUACCGAGAGGGCCCAGAGAUACCUCUCCGACAAUCGGAGUGACAAAUUCUAAUCUCGAAAUACGCCAACCCAACAUCUACCUUUGGAGACACCUGUAGUACUCCUUUAUAAUCACCCAGUUACGUUGUGACGUUUGGUAGCACCCAAAGUGUUCGUCCGGUAAACGGGAGUUGCAUAAUCUCAUAGUCAUAGGAACAUGUAUAAGUCAUGAAGAAAGCAAUAGCAACAUACUAAACGAUCGGUGCUAAGCUAAUGAAAUGGGUCAUGUCAAUCAGAUCAUUCAACUAAUGAUGUGACCUCAUUAAUCAAAUAACAACUCUUUGUUCAUGGUUAGGAAACAUAACCAUCUUUGAUUAACGAGCUAGUCAAGUAGAGGCAUACUAGCGACACUCUGUUUGUCUAUGUACUCACACAUGUAUUAUGUUUCCGGUUAAUACAAUUCUAGCAUGAAUAAUAAACAUUUAUUAUGAUAUAAGGGAAUAAAUAAUAACUUUAUUAUUGCCUCUAGGGCAUAUUUCCUUCAGAGUCCCACUUGCACUAGAGUCAAUAAUCUAGAUCACAUCUCCAUGUGAUUAACAUCGAUAGUUCACAUCAUCAUGUGAUUAACACCCAUAGUUCACAUCGCCAUGUGACCAACACCCAAAAGGUUUACUAGAUUCGGUAAUCUAGUUCACAUCGUUAUGUGAUUAACACCCAAAGAGUACUAAGGUGUGAUCAUGUUUUGCUUGUGAGAGAAUUUUAGUCAACAAGUCUGCCACAUUCAGAUCCACAUGUAUUUUGCAAAUUUCUAUGUCAACAAUGCUCUGCAUGGAGCUACUCUAGCUAAUUGCUCCCACUUUCAAUAUGUAUCUAGACCGAGACUUAGAGUCAUCUAGAUUAAUGUCAAAACUUGCAUCGGCGUAACCCUUUACGACGAACCUUUUUAUCACGUCCAUAAUCGAGAAACAUAUCCUUAUUUCACUAAGGAUAAUUCUGACCGUUGUCCAGUGAUCUACUCCUAGAUCACUAUUGUACUCCCUUGCCAAAUCAGUGCAGGGUAUACAAUAGAUCUGGUAUACAGCAUGACAUACUUUAUAGAACCUAUGGCCAAGGCAUAGGGAAUGACUUUCAUUCUCUUUCUAUCUUCUGCCGUGGUCGGGCUUUGAGUCUUACUCAACUUCACACCUUAUAAUACAGGCAAGAACUCUUUCUUUGACUGCUCCAUUUUGAACUACUUCAAAAUCCUAUCAAGGUAUGUACUCAUUGAAAAAACUUAUCAAGCGUCUUGAUCUAUCUCUAUAGAUCUUGAAGCUCAAUAUGUAAGCAGCUUCACCGAAGUCUUUCUUUGAAAAACUCCUUUCAAACACUCCUUUAUGCUUUACAGAAUAAUUCUACAUUAUUUCCGAUCAACAAUAUGUCAUUCACAUAUACUUAUCAGAAAUGUUGUAGUGCUCCCAUUCACUUUCUUGUAAAUACAGGCUUCACCGCAAGUCUGUAUAAAACUAUAUGCUUUGAUCAACUCAUCAAAGCGUAUAUUCCAACUCCGAGAUGCUUGCACCAGUCCACAGAUGGAUCGCUGGAGCUUGCACAUUUUGUUAGCACCUUUCAGAUUGACAAAACCUUCUGUUGCAUCAUAUACAACUCUUCUUUAAUAAAUCCAUUAAGGAAUGCAUUUUUGUUUAUCCAUUUGCCAGAAUUCAUAAAAUGCGGCAAUUACUAACAUGAUUCGGACAGACUCAAGCAUAGAUACGAGUGAGAAGCUCUCAUCGUAGUCAACACCUUGAACUUGUCGAAAACCUUUUGCGACAAUUCUAGCUUUGUAGACAGUAAUAUUACCGUCAGCGUCAGUCUUUUUCUUGAAUAUCCAUUUAUUCUCAAUUGCUUGCCGAUCAUCGGGCAAGUCAACCAAAGUCCAUACUUUGUUCUCAUACAUGGAUCCCAUCUCAGAUUUCAUGGCCUCAAGCCACUUUGCGGAAUCUGGGCUCACCAUCGCUUCUUCAUAGUUCGUAGGUUCAUCAUGAUCUAGUAGCAUGACUUCCAGAAUUGGAUUACCGUACCACUCUAGUGCGGAUCUCACUCUGGUUGAUCUACAUGGUUCAGUAGUAUCUUGUCCUGAAGUUUCAUGAUCAUCAUCAUUAGCUUCCUCACUAAUUGGUAUAGGUGUCGCAGAAAUAGUUUUCUGUGAUGUACUAUUUUCCAAUAAGGGAGCAGGUACAGUUACCUCGUCAAGUUCUACUUUCCUCCCACUCACUUCUUUCGAGAGACACUCCUUCUCUAGAAAUGAUCCAUUCUUAGCAACGAAUGUCUUGCCUUCGGAUCUGUGAUAGAAGGUGUACCCAACAGUCUCCUUUGGGUAUCCUAUGAAGACACAUUUCUCCGAUUUGGGUUUGAGCUUAUCAGGAUGAAACUUUUUCUCAUAAGCAUCGCAACCCCAAACUUCAAGAAACGACAACUUUGGUUUCUUGCCAAACCACAGUUCAGAUUGUGUCGUCUCAACGGACUUAGAUGGUGCCCCUUUUUAACGUGAAUGCAGUUGUCUCUAAUGCAUAACCCCAAAAACGAUAGUGGUAAAUCGGUAAGAAACAUCAUAGAUUGCACUAUAUCCAAUAAAGUACGGUUAUGACGUUCGGACACACCAUUAUGCUGUGGUGUUCCAGGUGGCGUGAGUAGUGAAACUAUUUCACAUUGUUUUAACUGAAGACCAAACUCGUAACUCAAAUACUCUUUUCUACGAUCAGAUCAUAGAAACUUUAUUUUCUUGUUACGAUGAUUUUUCACUUCACUCUGAAAUUCUUUGAACUUUUCAAAUGUUUCAGACUUAUGUUUCAUCAAGUAGAUAUACUCAUAUCUGCUCAAAUCGUCUGUGAAGAUCAGAAAAUAAUGAUACCUGUCGCGAGCCUUAAUAUUCAUCGGACCACAUACAUCAGUAUGUAUGAUUUCCAACAAAUCUGUUUCUUGCUCCAUUGUUCCGAAGAACAGAGUUUUAGUCAUCUUACCCAAAAGGCAUGGUUCGCAAGCAUCAAGUGAUUCAUAAUCAAGUGAUUCCGAAAGCCCAUCAGCAUGGAGUUUCUUCAUGCGCUUUAUACCAAUAUGACCUAAACGGCAGUGCCACAAAUAAGUUGCACUAUCAUUAUUAACUUUGCAUCUUUUGGUUUCAAUAUUAUGAAUAUGUGUAUCACUACGAUCGAGAUCCAACGAACUUGUUUCAUUGGGUGUAUGACCAUCGAAGGUUUUAUUCAUGUAAACAGAACAACAAUUAUUCUCUUACUUAAAUGAAUAACCGUAUUACAAUAAACAUGAUCAAAUCAUAUUCAUGCUCAACGCAAACACCAAAUAACACUUAUUUAGGUUCAACACUAAUCCCGAAAGUAUAGGGAGUGUGCGAUGAUGAUCAUAUCAAUCUUGGAACCACUUCCAACACACAUCGUCACUUCACCCUUAACUAGUCUCUGUUCAUUCUGCAACUCCCGUUUCGAGUUACUACUCUUAGCAACUGAACUAGCAUCAAAUACUGAGGGGUUGCUAUAAACACUAGUAAAGUACACAUCAAUAACAUGUAUAUCAAAUAUACUUAUGUUCACUUUGCCAUCCUUCUUAUCCGCCAAUCACUUGGGGUAGUUCCGCUUCCAGUGACCAGUCCCUUUGCAGUAGAAGCACUUAGUCUCAGGCUUAGGAUCAGACUUGGGCUUCUUCACUUGAGCAGCAACUUGCUUGCCGUUCUUCUUGAAGUUCCCCUUCUUCCCUUUUGCCCCCUUUUUUUCAAACUAGUGGUCUUGUCAACCAUCAACACUUGAUGUUUUUCUUGAUUUCUACCUUCAUCGAUUUCAGCAUCACGAAGAGCUUGGGAAUCGUUUCCGUUAUCCCUUGCAUAUCAUAGUUCAUCACGAAGUUCUACUAACUUGGUGAUGGUGACUAGAGAAUUCUGUCAAUCACUAUCUUAUCUGGAAGAUUAACUCCCACUUGAUUCAAGCGAUUGUAGUACCCAGACAAUCUGAGCACAUGCUCACUAGUUGAGCGAUUCUCCUCCAUCUUUUAGCUAUAGAACUUGUUGGAGACUUCAUAUCUCUCAACUCGGGUAUUUGCUUGAAAUAUUAACUUCAACUCCUGGAACAUCUCAUAUGGUCCAUGACGUUCAAAACGUCUUUGAAGUCCCGAUUCUAAGCCAUUAAGCAUGGUGCACUAAACUAUCAAGUAGUCAUCAUAUUGAGCUAGCCAAACAUUCAUAACGUCUGCAUCUGCUCCUGCAAUAGGUCUGUCACCUAGCGGUGCAUCAAGGACAUAAUUUUUCUGUGCAGCAAUGAGGAUAAACCUCAUAUCACGGAUCCAAUCCAUAUCAUUGCUACUAACAUCUUUCAACACAAUUUUCUCUAGGAACAUAUCAAAAUAAACAUAUGAAAGCAACAACGCGAGCUAUUGAUCUUCAACAUAGAUAUGCUAAUACUACCAGGACUAAGUUCAUGAUAAAUUAAAGUUCAAUUAAUCAUAUUACUUAAGAACUCCCACUUAGAUAGACAUCCCUCUAAUCCUCUAAGUGAUCACGUGAUCCAAAUCAACUAAACCAUAACCGAUCAUCACGUGAGAUGGAGUAGUUUUCAAUGGUGAACAUCGUUAUGUUGAUCAUAUCUACUAUAUGAUUCACGCUCGACCUUUCGGUCUCUGUGUUCCGAGGCCAUAUCUGCAUAUGCUAGGCUCGUCAAGUUUAACCUGAGUAUUCUGCGUGUGCAAAACUGGCUUGCACCCGUUGUAGAUGGACGUAGAGCUUAUCACACCCGAUCAUCACGUGGUGUCUGGGCACGACGAACUUUGGCAACGGUGCAUACUCAGGGAGAACACUUCUUGAUAAUUCAGUAAGAGAUCAUCUUAUAAUGCUACCGUCAAUCAAAGCAAGAUAAGAUGCAUAAAAGAUAAACAUCACAUGCAAUCAAUAUAAGUGAUAUGAUAUGGCCAUCAUCAUCUUGUGCUUGUGAUCUCCAUCUCCAAAGUACUGUCAUGAUCUAUAUCGUCACCGGCAUGACACCAUGAUCUCCAUCAUCUUGAUCUAUAUCAAUGUGUCGUCACGUGGUCGUCUCGCCAACACUUGCUCUUGCAACUAUUGCUAUCGCAUAGCGAUAAAGUAAAGCAAUUAUUGGGCGCUUGCAUCUUAUGCAAUAGAUAGACAACCAUAAGGCUUUUGCCAGUUGCCCAUAACUUCAACAAAACAUGAUCAUCUUAUACAACAACUUAUAACUCAUCACGUUUUGACCAUAUCACAUCACAACAUGCCCUGCAAAAACAAGUUAGACGUCCUCUACUUUGUUGUUGCAAAUUUUACGUGGCUGCUACGGGCUUAGCAAGAACCAAUCUUACCUACGCAUCAAAACCACAACGAUAGUUUGUCAAAUAGACUCCGUUUUAACCUUCGCAAGGACCGGGCGUAGCCACACUCGCUUCAACUAAAGUUGGAGAAACAGUCACCCGCAAGUCACCUAUGUGCAAAGCACGUCGGGGAAACCGGUCUCGCGUAAGCGUACGCGUAAUGUCGGUCCGGGCCGCUUCAUCCAACAAUACCGCCGAACAAAAGUAUGACAUGCUGGUAGGCAGUAUGACUUAUAUCACCCACAACUCACUUGUGUUCUACUCGUGCAUAUAACAUCAAACCAUAAAACCUAGGCUCGGAUGCCACUGUUGGGGAACGUAGUAAUUUCGAAAAUUUUCCUACGCACACGCAAGAUCAUGGUGAUGCAUAGCAACGAGGGGGAGAGUGUUGUCUACGUACCAACGCAGACCGACUGCGGAAGCGAUCACACAACAUAGAGGAAGUAGUCGUACGUCUUCUUCCCGAUCCAACCGAUCCAAGCACCGUUACUCCGGCACCUCCGAGUUCUUAGCACACGUUCAGCUUGAUGACGAUCCUCGUGCUCCGAUCCAGCAAAGCGUCGAGGAAGAGUUCCGUCAGCACAACGGCGUGGUGACGAUCUUGAUGUACUACCGACGCAGGGCUUCGCCUAAGCUCUACAACGAUAUGACCGAGGUGGAAUUUGGUGGCAGGGGGCACCGCACACGGCUAAGGAACGAUCAACAAUGAUCAACUUGUGUGUCUAUGGGGUGCCCCCUGCCCCCGUAUAUAAAGGAGCAGGGGGAGGGGUUCGGCCGGCUAGGGAGAGGGCGCGGGAGGAGUCCUACUCCUACCGGGAGUAGGACUCCCCCCCUUAAUCCUAUUCCAACUAGGACUCCCAAGGGGAAAAGGAGAGAAAGGGGGGCCGGCCCCUUCUCCUAGUCCUACUAGGACUUGGGGAAAGGGGGGGGGGCGUGGCCAGCUAUGGGAUGCCCCUUUUCUCUUUUCCACUAAGGCCCAAUAGGCCCAUUUGCCUCCCGGGGGGUUCCGGUAACCCUCCCGGUAUUCCGGUAAAAUCCCGAUUUCACCCGGAACACUUCCGGUGUCCAAACAUAGGCUUCCAAUAUAUCAAUCUUUACGUCUCGACCAUUUCGAGACUCCUCGUCAUGUACGUGAUCACAUCCGGGACUCCGAACAACCUUCGGUACAUCAAAAUGCAUAAACUCAUAAUAACUGUCAUCGUAACGUUAAGCGUGCGGACCCUACGGUUUGAGAACAAUGUAGACAUGACCGAGACAUGUCUCCGGUCAAUAACCAAUAGCGGGACCUGGAUGCCCAUAUUGGCUCCUACAUAUUCUACGAAGAUCUUUAUCGGUCAGACCGCAUAACAACAUACGUUGUUCCCUUUGUCAUCGGUAUGUUACUUGCCCGAGAUUCGAUCGUCGGUAUCCAAUACCUAGUUCAAUCUCGUUACUGGCAAGUCUCUUUACUCGUUUCUGUAAUACAUCAUCUCAUAACUAACAUCUUAGUUAUUAUGCUUGCAAGGCUUAUGUGAUGUGUAUUACCGAGAGGGCCCAGAGAUACCUCUUUGACAAUCGGAGUGACAAAUUCUAAUCUCGAAAUACGCCAACCCAACAUCUACCUUUGGAGACACCUGUAGUACUCCUUUAUAAUCACCCAGUUACGUUGUGACGUUUGGUAGCACCCAAAGUGUUCCUCCGGUAAACGGGAGUUGCAUAAUCUCAUAGUCAUAGGAACAUGUAUAAGUCAUGAAGAAAGCAAUAGCAACAUACUAAACGAUCGGGUGCUAAGCUAAUGAAAUGGGUCAUGUCAAUCAGAUCAUUCAACUAAUGAUGUGACCUCGUUAAUCAAAUAACAACUCUUUGUUCAUGGUUAGGAAACAUAACCAUCUUUGAUUAACGAGCUAGUCAAGUAGAGGCAUACUAGUGACACUCUGUUUGUCUAUGUACUCACACAUGUAUUAUGUUUCCGGUUAAUACAAUUCUAGCAUGAAUAAUAAACAUUUAUCAUGAUAUAAGGAAAUAAAUAAUAACUUUAUUAUUGCCUCUAGGGCAUAUUUCCUUCAUAAUAUAGCAUGGAGCAAUAAAAAAUUAUAGAUACGUUGGAGACGUAUCAGGCAUCCCCAAGCUUAAUUCCUACUCGUCCUCGAGUAGGUAAAUGAUAAAAAGAGAAUUUUUGAUGCGGAGUGCUACUUGGCAUAAUUUCAAUGCAAAAUUUCUUAAUUGUGGUAUGGAUAUUCAGAUUAGAAAGAUUCAAGACAAAAGUUCAUAUUGACAUAAAGAAUAAUAACACUUCAAGCAUACUAAUAAAGUAAUUAUGUCUUCUCAAAAUAACAUGGCCAAAGAAAGUUAUCCCUACAAAAUCAUAUAGUCUGGCUAUGAUCUAUCUUCACCACACAAAGUAUUUAAAUCAUGCACAACCCCGAUGACAAGCCAAGCAAUUGUUUCAUACUCUAACUUUUUCAAAACUUUUUCAAUCUUCACGCAAUACAUGAUCAUGAGCCAUGGACAUAGCACUAUGUGGAAUAGAAGGGUGGUUGUGGAGAAGACAAAAAGAAGGGAAGAUAGUCUCACAUCAACUAGGCGUAUCAACGGGCUAUGGAGAGGUCCAUCAAUAGAUACCAAUGUGAGCGAGUAGGGAUUGCCAUGCAACGGAUGCACUAGAGCUAUAAGUAUAUGAAAGCUCAUCAAAAGAAACUAAGUGGGUGUGCAUCCAACUCGCUUGCUCACGAAGACCUAGGGCAAUUUGAGGAAGCCCAUCACUGGAAUAUACAAGCCAAGUUCUAUAAUGAAAAAUUCCCACUAGUAUAUGAAAUUGACAUAACGAGAGACUCUCUAUCAUGAAGAUCAUGGUGCUACUUUGAAGCACAAGUGUGGUAAAAGGAUAGUAACAUUGUCCCUUCUCUCUUUUUCUCUCUUUUUUGGGCCUUUUCUCUCUUUUUUAUGGCCUCUUUUUUUUCAUCCGGAGUCUCAUCCCGACUUAUGGGGGAAUCAUAGUCUCCAUCAUCCUUUCCUCACUUGGGACAAUGCUCUAGAAAAUGAUGAUCAUCACACUUUUAUUUCUCUUACAACUCAACAAUUACAACUCGAUACUUAGAACAAAUAUGACUCUAUAUGAAUGCCUCCGGCGGUGUACCGGGAUAUGCAAUGAAUCAAGAGUGACAUGUAUGAAAGAAUUAUGAAUGGUGGCUUUGCCACAAAUACGAUGUCAACUACAUGAUCAUGCUAGCAAUAUGACAAUGAUGGAGUGUGUCAUAAUAAACGGAAUGGUGGAAAGUUGCAUGGCAAUAUAUCUCGGAAUGGCUAUGGAAAUGCCAUGAUAGGUAGGUAUGGUGGCUGUUUUGAGGAAGGUAUAUGGUGGGUGUAUGAUACCGGCGAAAGGUGCGCGGUAUUAGAGAGGCUAGCAAUGGUGGAAGGAUGGGAAAAAGUGCAUAUAAUCCAUGGACUCAACAUUAGUCAUAAAGAACUCAUAUACUUAUUGCAAAAAUCUAGAAGUUAUCAAAGCAAAGUAUUACACGCAUGCUCCUAGGGGGAUAGAUUGGUAGGAAAAGACCAUCUCUCGUCCCCGACCGCCACUCAUAAGGAAGACAAUCAAUAAAUAAAUUAUGCUCCGACUUCAUCACAUAACGGUUCACCAUACGUGCAUGCUACGAGAAUCACAAACUUUAACACAAGUAUUCUUUAAAUUCACAACUACUAAACUAGCAUAACUCUAAUAUUAUCACCUCCAUAUCUCAAAACAAUUAUCAUGCUUCAAUCUUCUCUUAGUAUUCAACGCACUAAAUUUUUUUUUCACAUAUCUUGAACACCAAGCAUAUUUAUAUUAAGCAAAUUACCAUGCUAUUAAGACUCUCAAAAUAAUUUAAGUGAAGCAUGAGAGAUCAAUAGUUUCUUUAAAACAAACCACCACCGUGCUCUAAAAGAUUUAAGUGAAGCACAUAGAGCAAAAUUAUAACGCUCAAAAGAUAUAAGUGAAGUGCAUAGGGCAAAACUACAUAGCUCAAAAGAUUUAAGUGAAGCACAUAGAGAAUUCUAUCAAAUUUUAAUUCAUAGAUGACUCUCUCAAAAGGUGUGUAAAGCAAGGAUGAUUCUGGCACACUAACAAACAAAGACACAAAUAAUACAAGACGCUCCAAGCAAAACACGUAUCAUGUUGGUGAAUAAAAAUAUAGCUCCAAGUAAAUUACCGAUCGAAGUGGACGAAAGAGGGGAUGCCUUCCGGGGCAUCCCCAAGCUUUGACUUUUUGGUGUCCUUGGAUUAUCUUGGGGGUGCCAUGGGCAUCCCCAAGCUUAGGCUCUUGCCACUCCUUGUUCCAUAAUCCAUCAAAAGAACUCACCCAAAACUUGAAAAUUUCACAACACAAAACUCAAUAGAAAUCUCGUGAGCUCCGUUAGAGAAAGAAAACAAAAGACCACUUCAAUGUACUGUAAUGAACUCAUUCUUUAUUUAUUUUGGUGUUAAACCUAAUGUAUUCCAACUUCUCUAUGGAUUAUAAACUAUUUUACUAACCAUAGAUUCAUCAAAAUAAGCAAACAACACACGAAAAACAAAAUCUGUCAAAAACAGAACAGUUUGUAGUAAUCUGUAGCUAGCGCAAGAUAUGGAACCCCAAAAAUUCUAAAAUAAAUUUCUGGAAGUGAGGAAUUUAUCUAUUAAUCAUCUGAAAAAAGAAUUAACUAAAUAGCACUCUUAAAAUAAAAAUGACAGCAGUUCUCGUGAGCGCUAAAGUUUCUGUUUUUUACAGCAAGUUCAACAAGACUUUCCCCAAGUCUUCCCAACGGUUCUACUUGGCACAAACACUAAUUAAGCACAAAAAAACAC
rnacentral:lncRNA from 1 species